AUCUACAGUUGGCCAAAAUUAAGUUAGAUGAAACUUAGAAACAAGUGGGGCCUGGUUAGUACGUGGAUGGAAGACCGCCUGGGAAUACUGGGUGCUGUAGGCG
rnacentral:rRNA from 1 species